GGGGGGGGUUGUGAAAGGUUUUGUGAAUGCAGAAGAAUUAAAUUGAAACACAGAUGCAAACAGAGAUGGAAACACAGAAUCAAACACAGAAUAAAAACGGUUGGUCAUCAACUCAAUCACUAAGCUUCCAAUCACAGAUUAACACUACAAAGGGCUACUCAAACCUCUAAUCCAACACAUUUAACCAACUAAGCAAAGGCUAAUAUGUUAUCAUAAUCACGAACUAAGCGAACGCAAUACACCUAUUCCAUCCAAUGAGUUCUAUACAGAUU
rnacentral:lncRNA from 1 species